AAGUCGUAACAAGGUAACCGUAGGUGAACCUGCGGUUGGAUCAUUAUUAUAAAAGGAUCAGCGUGUCGGUUAACGACUUCAAAGCGCUCAAUCUUUCUCCCAGCCAAUAAAUCGCUAAAGAUGCGUUGAAACAUUCAACGUUGAUUUACAGUUUGUAGUGCUGUGGAUCCAGAAAGAAACAUCUUGUGAACCGUUCCGUCUCUGGCGAGUGGGUAGUGAAGAACUACUUGUCAGCAUUGCUUUUUGCGGUGCCGUGGACAGCUUGCCAACCCCUUCUAAACAUAUAUUUAUUUUCUUUAUGUCUGACAUUUAUUGUAUCAAUAUACAAAACAACUUUUGGCAACGGAUCUCUUGGCUCUC
rnacentral:misc_RNA from 1 species